rnacentral:rRNA from 1 species
UGGGGGAUAUUGCGCGAUGGGCGAAAGCCUGACGCAGCGACGCCGCGUGGGUGAUGAAGGCCUUCGGGUCGUAAAGCCCUGUCGAGGGGAACGAAACGGCUUCGACCUAACACGUCGAGGCCCUGACGGUACCCCCAAAGGAAGCACCGGCUAACUCCGUGCCAGCAGCCGCGGUAAUACGGAGGGUGCAAGCGUUGUUCGGAAUCACUGGGCGUAAAGGGCGUGUAGGCGGUCCGCUAAGUCUGAUGUGAAAGCCCGGGGCUCACCCCCGGAAGGGCAUUGGAAACUGGCGGACUCGAGUCCCGGAGAGGAGGGUGGAAUUCCUGGUGUAGCGGUGAAAUGCGUAGAUAUCAGGAGGAACACCGGUGGCGAAGGCGGCCCUCUGGACGGUGACUGACGCUAAGACGCGAAAGCGUGGGGAGCAAACAGGAUUAGAUACCCUGGUAGUCCACGCUGUAAACGAUGAGCGCUAGGUGUCGUGGGUAUUGACCCCCGCGGUGCCGCAGCUAACGCAUUAAGUGCUCCGCCUGGGGACUACGGCCGCAAGGUUA